GACGUAGGGCGCGAGCGUUGUCCGGAUUUAUUGGGCGUAAAGAGCUCGUAGGCGGUCUGUCGCGUCGGCUGUGAAAAUCCAGGGCUCAACCCUGGACCUGCAUUCGAUACGGGCAGACUAGAGUUCGGUAGGGGAGACUGGAAUUCCUGGUGUAGCGGUGAAAUGCGCAGAUAUCAGGAGGAACACCGGUGGCGAAGGCGGGUCUCUGGGCCGAAACUGACGCUGAGGAGCGAAAGCGUGGGGAGCGAACAGG
rnacentral:rRNA from 1 species